rnacentral:rRNA from 1 species
CGUAGGGUGCGAGCGUUAAUCGGAAUUACUGGGCGUAAAGCGUGCGCAGGCGGUUAUGCAAGACAGAUGUGAAAUCCCCGGGCUCAACCUGGGAACUGCAUUUGUGACUGCAUAGCUAGAGUACGGUAGAGGGGGAUGGAAUUCCGCGUGUAGCAGUGAAAUGCGUAGAUAUGCGGAGGAACACCGAUGGCGAAGGCAAUCCCCUGGACCUGUACUGACGCUCAUGCACGAAAGCGUGGGGAGCAAACAGGAUUAGAUACCCUGGUAGUCCACGCCCUAAACGAUGUCAACUGGUUGUUGGGUCUUCACUGACUCAGUAACGAAGCUAACGCGUGAAGUUGACCGCCUGGGGAGUACGGCCGCAAGGUUG